UUUCUCAUUAGCCCAGUUUGUCUUAACCUGUGAGCAAGAGCACAUGUUUAGGAAAGUAAGAGGACAGUUCUUACGGCAGAUGGAUUUCUGCUCCCACGCCUUCCGUGGGAAGGACUUGCCCUGCCAGAAGUCAGAGGCGCAAGGCAGCACUGGUGUAUCUCUGUGUUUGUGGUGCAGGUGGGUAAGUGGGAGAACCAGACCCUGAGCCCAAGGCCCACGGUGUGGCCCUGGUACAAGUCCUUCUCUGACUGUGAGCUGGAUCACAACCACCUGAGCAUCAUCACCCUGGAGGAGGCCCCCUUCGUUAUGGUGGAAGACAUCAACCCGCUGACUGAGGCGUGUGUGAGGAACACGGUGCCGUGUCGGAAGUUCAUCAAAAUCAAACUGCACACACGGAGGAGAAGGCAGAAGCUUAGAGAAACACCAAGAAUCCCUCUGUGUUCUGUUCCAGCCUGUCCAAGGUUCUGACACCUCAUACUUCUUGGUGUCCAGCGUUGCAGCAUUCUUCCUCGGAUGCUGUGUAGAGCCCCGGCGCUGGACUUGGAACAAGGAGGUGAGCUCCAUGAUGAGCAACACCUGCAGGAAGGCUGGGCCGCUGGUGUCUGAGGAGUGGUAGUGGAUUCACUGGGCCUCUGACUCAGGUUCAUCCAUCCUCGCCUGAAUGUGGUGAAUUAAGACUUUGUUCCUACUGGUCAGCAGUAACUAGUGUUGUCCUUGAAGAGUCAUCCCUCUGGCUUCAUUUCCCCUGGGAUUGCUAUUGUGGUGACUCCUCCUCAUCACUCCUCCUCAUCCUCCAGGUCUCAGCUCAAGGGCUGGCUCUGAGGAGGCCACCUGUGACCCCCCACUCCAGGCACAUCGCUGUGGCUGCUGGAGAGGAGUUGUCCACUGGCCUGAGCUCGGCAUGAGGUCCCC